GAUGAAGAACGUAGCGAAAUGCGAUAAGUAAUGUGAAUUGCAGAAUUCCGUGAAUCAUCGAAUAUUUGAACGCACAUUGCGCCCUCUGGUAUUCCGGGGGGCAUGCCUGUCCGAGCGUCAUUUGCAACCCUCAAGCCCGGCUUGUGUGAUGGGUGCCGUCCCCUACGGGACGCGCCCCGAAGGCAAUGGCGGCGUCGCGGUUAUCCGAUCAGCCAAAGUGUAUGGGGCUUUGUCACUCACUUUACGGCCCGGACCGGCGCCAGUCCGAAUCAAUCUUUUUUCUAAAGUUGACCUCGGAUCAGGUAGGGAUACCCGCUGAACUUAAGCAUAUCAAUAAGCGGAGGA
rnacentral:misc_RNA from 1 species